GGAAUCUUAGACAAUGGGCGCAAGCCUGAUCUAGCCAUGCCGCGUGAGCGAUGAAGGCCUUAGGGUUGUAAAGCUCUUUCACCGGGGAAGAUAAUGACGGUACCCGGAGAAGAAGCCCCGGCUAACUCCGUGCCAGCAGCCGCGGUAAUACGGAGGGGGCUAGCGUUGUUCGGAAUUACUGGGCGUAAAGCGCGCGUAGGCGGGCUGUUAAGUCGGGGGUGAAAUCCCGGGGCUCAACCCCGGAACUGCCUUCGAUACUGGCAGCCUGGAGUCCGAGAGAGGUGAGUGGAAUUCCGAGUGUAGAGGUGAAAUUCGUAGAUAUUCGGAAGAACACCAGUGGCGAAGGCGACUCACUGGACAGUUAUUGACGCUGAGGUGCGAAAGCGUGGGGAGCAGAC
rnacentral:rRNA from 1 species